ACAGAGGGCUCAAGCGUUAAUCGGAAUCACUGGGCUUAAAGGGUCCGCAGGCGGAUUGGAAAGUAUCUUGUGAAAUACCACGGCUCAACCGUGGAACUGCUCGGUAAACUUCCAAUUAUAACGUGGGCGGCAUCGGAACUCUAGGUGGAGCGGUGAAAUGCGUAGAUAUCUAGAGGAACGCCAGAGGCGAAGGCGGAUGGCUGGGCCGUUGUUGACGCUCAGGGACGAAAGCAUGGGUAGCGAACGGGAUUAGAUACCCCGACGC
rnacentral:rRNA from 1 species